GACGAACGCUGGCGGCGUGCUUAACACAUGCAAGUCGAACGAAAAGAGGGAAAGAGCUUGCUCUUUCCGGAAUUGAGUGGCAAACGGGUGAGUAACACGUAAACAACCUGCCUUCAGGAUGGGGACAACAGACGGAAACGACUGCUAAUACCGAAUAAGUUCCAAGGGCCGCAUGGCCCAUGGAAGAAAAGGUGGCCUCUACCUUUAAGCUAUCGCCUGAAGAUGGUGUUGCGUCUGCUUAGCUGGUUGGUGGGGUAACGGCCCACCAAGGCGAGGAUCAGUAUCCGGACGGAGAGGAUGGACGGCCGGACUGGGACGGUGACAGGGCCCAGAGUGCUACGGAAGGCAGCAGUGGGGCAUCUGCAGGAAGGGGCGAGAGCCUGACGGAGCAAGGCCGAGUGAGUGAUGACGGCCUUCGGGUUGGAAAAGUCUGUGAUCCGGGACGAAAAGGCAGAGUGCGAAGAACAAGCGGCAUUGACGGUAACGGAUAAGCAAGCCACGGCUAACUACGUG
rnacentral:rRNA from 1 species